UACGUAGGGGGCAAGCGUUAUCCGGAUUUACUGGGUGUAAAGGGAGCGUAGACGGUGAUGCAAGUCAGAAGUGAAAGCCCGGGGCUCAACUCCGGGACUGCAUUGGAAACUGUCAGACUGGAGUGUCGGAGAGGCAAGCGGAAUUCCUAGUGUAGCGGUGAAAUGCGUAGAUAUUAGGAGGAACACCAGUGGCGAAGGCGGCUUGCUGGACGGUAACUGACGCUGAGGCUCGAAAGCGUGGGGAGCAAACAGG
rnacentral:rRNA from 1 species